rnacentral:rRNA from 1 species
UACAUAGGGGGCGAGCGUUGUCCGGAAUGACUGGGCGUAAAGGGUGUGUAGGCGGUUUGUUAAGUUAGAAGUGUAAUACCCAGAGCUUAACUCGGGUGCUGCUUCUAAUACUGACGGACUGGAGUGUAGGAGAGGAUGAUGGAAUUCCCGGUGUAGCGGUGGAAUGCAUAGAUAUCGGGAGGAACACCAGAGGCGAAAGCGAUCAUCUGGACUACAACUGACGCUGAGGCACGAAAGCGUGGGGAGCAAA